rnacentral:rRNA from 1 species
UACGUAGGGUGCGAGCGUUGUCCGGAAUUAUUGGGCGUAAAGGGCUCGUAGGCGGUUUGUCGCGUCGGGAGUGAAAAUCCAGGGCUUAACUCUGGACUGGCUUCCGAUACGGGCAGACUAGAGGUAUGCAGGGGAGAACGGAAUUCCUGGUGUAGCGGUGAAAUGCGCAGAUAUCAGGAGGAACACCGGUGGCGAAGGCGGCCAUCUGGACGGCUAUUGACGCUGAGACGCGAAAGCGUGGGGAGCAAACAGG